AGGAGAUCUGCCCCCACCACCCCUCCCAAGAAUUAGCCCUGGGGUAGGUGCUUGAGGAUGGAAGCGGAGGAGGCACCAAUCCACCCACCCUCUGUCAGCACCAUGGUAGGGUUUGCAGAGUGAAGCUUCACCCGUCAGUUGAAGUGAGAUCUGGGCUGCACUGGUAUUUGCUGUUAGCUAAGACAUCCAUUGCCAUGUGACCGUCCACCAGAGACCAAAGCUGUGAAACCUUCCAGCAAGUACUGCAAGCCUCCAAAACCAAGAGGUUUAAGAUGUGAACCCUUAGCUUCUGCUCCAGGUGCUAUGCCUGCCACCUGCUGCCCCGCCUCCUGGUCUUGCUGCACCCAUAUCCUCUGGAACCAUAAGCCAAAUAAAGUCUUCCCUCUGUAAGCUGCUCCUGGACAUGUUUUUGUUGUUGGUUGUUUGUUUUGUUUUGUUUUUUAAUCACACCAGCAGAGGAGUACCUAGUACUGAGAGACUCACCACGAAAUUUUGUAUCUGACAUGGGUAUACACAAAGGCCUAAUCUUCUAGAAUGAGCCCAAGACAAGGUUGUGGGAGACAGCUAUUUCUUU
rnacentral:lncRNA from 1 species